UUUGUGUGCUUUCUCAAACUUUCAAUGACUGGAGCGCCGAUAGUUAAAUUACCGACAAAGUGCCUGCACAAAAAUAGAUGAAAAAUGGGGAAGGAAAGGAAACUUUUUCAACAAUUUAAUCGUCAACACAAGCAAUGAAAUAGAGUGUGGUAAUGUUUAAUAAUAAAUAAAUAAAAAUUAGCACCACAAAGUGGCUCCAGAUCAUCCAUAGCAACCAACUCAUGUUCAUGAACAAAAUUUCCUUUCCAUCAUUAUGAAAUUAAAUGAAUACUGAGCAAAACUAGCACCUACACAAAAGCUUUACUUUUUGAUUUGAUGCUUCAAAACAUUACAAACAGAAGCUUGAAAGGUAAAUAGAGCCACUGGAGUUUUUUUUUUAUUUCCAUCAAUUAGAAGAUCAUUCAGCAUGAUAUGUAUUUCCUCUGGACUCAAUUAUAAGCAAAAAAAAUGCUUAAACUUGUUGGACUUAAAUAUAAGCAAAAGUCAACUAAUCUACAAAUAUUGAAUACUAUUAUUUCAAAAAUACCCUUAAACUAAUCUAAUAAUGUUGUGACGAGAUAAUCAUAAUAAUUAGGCGUAGGUUAGUAAAUGUAUUCAUUUUUGCGUGAAAUCAUGAAAACUAAACGCAUUUAACUAUCAUCGUUAUUAAGUGUUGAAAUAGUUAUUUUUUUAUAAUUGAAUCCUUAGUCCAGAGUAGUACUUAGUUUAAUGUCCAAACUGCAGUCCUAUUCCAUAUCGCUUUCAUAAUAAAGAUAUCUUGCCUAAUUUCAAUACAGUGCAAGAUAAUGAUCUGUUUCAAAACAGAUGUGAAUUGAAUGCCAGGUUGCAAACAAUAAUUCAAUCAGAAAUCUGCCACAGUUAAAUAAACUAGAGAUUGAGGAUAAAGAGUGAAGGCCUCUGCCACAAGCUCACAUUACAAAUGCUAAAAACAAUACUAUGUUAGAGGCAUGUAUGCAAUAGAGGGAUGAAUGUGGUAUCAAUCAAAACACAUAACUAGGCAAACAAAAUACAAUUCAUAAUUUAUAAAAAAAGAAAAAGAGAUAAGGAGAAAACAUUCAGUCGGAGCCUGAAGAGUGCAAGUCAUCUUAUUGAAGAUAAAAUCAAAAUUUACUAUGAUGGUUUAUAAAUAUAUGAUUUAGUAUGACAGUGCAUAUGAUAGAACUCAUAAUUUUAAUGGAAGAAAAUGGUAUAUUAUUUCUUAAAAUUACAAUGACAAGAUCAGGAGAAGAUGCAAAAAGAAAAACUAAACCAGACUUUUAACUUCUAAGAACUCCUAAACCAGAGCAAAAUUGCUCCUAACCAGAGAGUUAUUAACUAGCUUUUAUUCCCUCUAUUCAUCCUUCUUGAAACUGAAUGUCUUUCCCACUUCCCCUUCCUUCAUUCCUUUAAUGGAUAAUCAAUAGAAUAAGAGACAUUAUUAACUAGCUUUUAUUUCCUCCAUUCAUCCUUCUAGAAACUAAAUGUGUGUGAGGUGUGUGACUUGGGUGAGUGGGGCCCACUCUUCGGGCCCUGAUUCCUCUUAAUUUGCAGUGUUCUAUCAGCAUAUCAACCAAAGCUGUGAAAAUAAAAACUCACGGUAGCCGAAAAUGAUAACAGCAAAAUAUCAUAACGCAUCACUGCUUAAAAAUGAAUAUUGUAUCAUAACCUGCACUAAGAUCUUGAUCAUGUUAUUUCUUGUUAUUGAACGACUGGCAAUUGACCAUCUAUUUAUGCAGAUAAAACAUCCCAAAUGACAACACAUUUAGAACACCGUAUUCAUUAUAGCAGUAGGGAAUGUGAAUUCUUGUUCAAUGGUGAAUGAUCUCAUUUUCCCAUUUGAUGUAUACUAUUCACCUUAAUCCAAAGCUACUAGGACAAAAAAUUCCCACUAGGAAGGAUUGGUUAUAGGAUGGAUGGAUGGAUCAAGUAAAAGUAUAAUUUUUGUCAUAGAUCAUAUCUAAUGACAGUUAAAUCUAAAUAGCUACUCAUAAAUUUAGCUUAUAGUUUUCCUUAAUCUCUCUCAACCUCAAAGUAUUGGAUUACCCUCUAUAUGAUGUACCCUCCCUUAUUGAAGCUUUUCUAGAUUUUCCCCACACAUGCUCAAACCAUCUAACAAGACUCCACCAUGUUUUCCACAUUGGAUGGUACGCAACUUUAUCCCUAAUGUUUUCACUUCUACACCUAUUUUGUCUCAUGUAUCAUCCACUUAGGUUCAUAAUGUUAUAAUCUCAUGAAAGAACUUUACGUGUUAUCUCAAAUUUACAAAAGAACUAAAUUGUGGCUAACUCAAACUGGCUGUACAAAUAUAGAAACAAAUUGACACAAGGGAGUGCAAGAAACUUCCCCAAAAUUAUUUUUCUCCAGGUGAGAGACACUUCAUUUUUCUCAACUUUUAAUAGCUCAAAGUUCAAAUCACAAUGUGUUGGAUAGUAAACCUUUAUCUUCUUUCGCUCAUCAGAAUAGAACAACAAUGUAACAGGUAGCAAUAGCUAUAUGGGCAAACUAGGCAGACAAAAGAAAUAUGAUCAAUUAUCAAUCUAUGUAGCACGCACACUUCAGAUUGAAUGUGUGUCCAAUACUCGACAAGUGUCAAUCUGACACCAAGAUGACACUGACACAUAUGAUUACAUUCAAUCAUAUCUAUUUUCUCAAAUAAUUAUCAAUGUAUAUGUGUCAAUAUCAAUAUUGUGUCCGGUGUUUAUGUCUAAGUGUGCUUCAUAGAUUAUCAUUGCAGGAUCCCAACCAACAAGGUGAAGUCAAAGUUAAAACAUUAACUAACAAGACAAAUCACAAAAAAGACAAAGGAAAAAACAGAAAUUAAAGCUUAAAACCAAGUCAAUUUGAGUCGCAAUCUCACAAUUGAGAAUAAAGAUAACUGCAUUAGCAGACCAAGACAAUAACACCUUACCCAUCCUGCAAAGGAAGCAUAAUGAGAAACGUCAGUAACCCAUCUUCCUAAUGAAACAAAAUAUAUAUUCCAUAAGAAAAAUUAUAAUUCAUAAUAGUAAGUAGUAACAAAUAACACCCCCUUGACUUUUUAAAUGAUUAUCACAGUUUACACAUGUGGUUAGGUUCAGGCAGUUCAAUGAGUGGUUAAUACAUAUAUCAAGAUUGGAUUACUCAUUAACCAUCAACUGAACAUUAUUAACCACAAAUUUAAACAUUAUUAACCACAAUCUUAAGUGUUCAACCUAGAUGUAAAUUUUAACACUUGAAAAUCAAGAUUAAUCACAUUUAAAUUUGUGGUCAAGAAAAUUCCAUUGGUAGUUGAUGAGUUACAACACCUAAUAUAACUUUUAACCAAAUCUAACACUUAAUUGACCACAUGUGUGACCUACGUUAACAGUUUAAAUAGUUGUCAAAUUUUGUACUCCCAGAUUGAUGUUAAAAUAACAUUUAUGAUGAAUUUAUUAAGGACCAACUACACAGUCAUUAAACAAAAACAGAAUUGAGACUAUUUUUCUGUUUAGAUAUUAUGAAUGUCUAUGUGGAAAUAAAGGUCAUUAAAUUAAAUCAUAGAAGUAGAAAGUAAAUGGUGUGCAAAAGUUUAGAAUUGUUAGAAAGAAAAAGGCAAGUGUCCAUUUGCCAAUUACAAACCACUAGUUUAUAGAGGACAGCUUAUAGCGUGUGAACUCAUAUGCCCAAAAUAGAGCUUCUUGGUAACCAUUUUUUGUUCGGAACCUACAACUGUUUCAAUAGAGUUUGAGCUUAUAACAUAUCACAUCUUUUCUCAUUUUCACCUUCAUCAUCUUAAUUGAAAAAAUGUAUAUAUUAAUUAAAAUUAUCUUUUUAUAGCAUUUUAAAAUUAUCGUUGAACUCAAUGACUAAUUUUAUCAAAACACUUCAAAUUCAAUAUUCAAGUUUAUCCCCUAUCAGCUAGCAUAUCUGCUAUAAGUUCAUCCAAAAUCGGCUAUCUACAAAUUUUAACCGAAUAGAGUAUAAAUUCGAAGCAAGCAAUAAAAGAAAAUAUGUUAUGGUGAAUGAAAAGUUAAAUAAAUAAAUAAAUAAAUAAAUUAAUAAAAGGAGAUAGGGAAAGCGAAGGGCGUACCAUGAUGUCCAUGUGAAGCCAAUCAGCGCCAUAGUUGAGCAUACGAUGAGCUUCGGAAGCCAAAUUGGCGAAAUCCGAUGAAAGCAUCGAAGGAGCGAUUUUGGAUGUCACUCCCAUAAUUCUCUUUGGCGUUGG
rnacentral:lncRNA from 1 species